UACGUAGGGGGCGAGCGUUGUCCGAAUUUACUGGGCGUAAAGCGCGCGUAGGCGGCUAUUUAAGUCUGGGGUGAAAGGUUCGACGCUCAACGUGAACAGUGCCUUGGAUACUGGGUGGCUUGAGUCUGGGAGAGGGUAGCGGAAUUCCUGGUGUAGCGGUGAAAUGCGUAGAUAUCAGGAGGAACACCGGUGGCGAAGGCGGCAUCCUGGACCGGCAUUGACGCUGAGGCGACGAAAGCCCAGGGGAGCAAACGGG
rnacentral:rRNA from 1 species